rnacentral:rRNA from 1 species
CUACGGGAUGCAGCAGUGGGGAAUAUUGGACAAUGGGGGCAACCCUGAUCCAGCAAUACCGCGUAUGUGAAGAAGGCCCGAGGGUUGUAAAGCACUUUCAGUAGGGAGGAUUAAUGUUACGGUUAAUACCCGUGAUAUUUGACGUUACCUACAGAAGAAGCACCGGCUAACUCAGUGCCAGCAGCCGCGGUAAUACUGAGGGUGCAAGCGUUAAUCGGAAUUACUGGGCGUAAAGCGCGCGUAGGUGGUUAGAUCAGUUGGGUGUGAAAGCCCCGAGCCUAACCUGGGAACUGCAUUCAAUACUGUCUAGCUAGAGUAUGGUAGAGGGAAGUGGAAUUCCGCAUGUAGCGGUGAAAUGCGUAGAGAUGCGGAGGAACACCAGUGGCGAAGGCGACUUCAUGGACCAAUACUGACACUGAGGUGCGAAAGCGUGGGGAGCAAACAGGAUUAGAUACCCUUGUAGUC